AGAACGAACGCUGGCGGCAGGCCUAACACAUGCAAGUCGAACGCCCCGCAAGGGGAGUGGCAGACGGGUGAGUAACACGUGGGAACGUGCCCAAAGGUACGGAACAACUCCGGGAAACUGGAGCUAAUACCGUAUGUGCCCGAAAGGGGAAAGAUUCAUCGCCUUUGGAUCGGCCCGCGUCUGAUUAGCUAGUUGGCGGGGUAAUGGCCCACCAAGGCGACGAUCAGUAGCUGGUCUGAGAGGAUGACCAGCCACACUGGGACUGAGACACGGCCCAGACUCCUACGGGAGGCAGCAGUGGGGAAUAUUGGACAAUGGGCGCAAGCCUGAUCCAGCCAUGCCGCGUGAGUGAUGAAGGCCUUAGGGGUUGUAAAGCUCUUUCGCCAGGGACGAUAAGUGGAACGGUACCGUGGAAUAAAGAACGACCCCGGACUAACCGUUCGCGCCCAGCCAAGGCCCGAC
rnacentral:rRNA from 1 species